rnacentral:tmRNA from 1 species
GGGGAUGACAGGCUUCGACGGGGAAGGCUGGUCCUGGAUUGCAAGCCGAGCACGCUUUACAUCUCGUUAAUCUGGAAGCACACGCACAAGUGCCAAUCGCACGACUGCUUAUAACGCUUUACCGGCCGUCGCUUAAGACGGUCCAAAGCGUAGGGCUCUGAAACCAGGGUCCGCGUCUGUCUCCUCCGCUCGUUGGCCGGGCGAGUCGCAGGCGUCAUAAAUGCCAACGUGCUCUUCCUUGACGCCGAUGAAGGAAGCUAAGAGGCCCUUUAGGGGGCUAUCGGUUAGCGGUCGAGAUGACCCCGUCGGCUGGGGCCCUUCGCCGCGAAAGCUCAAAUGGGCCGACUAAGCUUGUAGACGUCCAGAGAUCGAAUUCUUCGGACGCGGGUUCGAUUCCCGCCAUCUCCACUC